UCGGGAAUUUUGGGCAAUGGGCGAAAGCCUGACCCAGCAACGCCGCGUGAAGGAUGAAGUAUUUCGGUAUGUAAACUUCGAAAGAAUAGGAAGAAUUAAUGACGGUACUAUUUAUAAGGUCCGGCUAACUACGUGCCAGCAGCCGCGGUAAUACGUAGGGACCAAGCGUUGUUCGGAUUUACUGGGCGUAAAGGGCGCGUAGGCGGUGCGGUAAGUCACUUGUGAAAUCUCUGAGCUUAACUCAGAACGGCCAAGUGAUACUGCAGUACUAGAGUGCAGAAGGGGCAAUCAGAAUUCUUGGUGUAGCGGUGAAAUGCGUAGAUAUCAAGAGGAAUACCUGAGGUGAAGACGGGUUGCUAGGCUGACACUGACGCUGAGGCGCGAAAGCUAGGGGAGCAAACG
rnacentral:rRNA from 1 species